UGAGUAACACGUGGGUAACCUGCCCAUCAGAGGGGGAUAACAUUCGGAAACGGAUGCUAAAACCGCAUAGGUCCUUUAACCGCAUGGUUGAAGGAGGAAAAGAGGCGCAAGCUUCUGCUGAUGGAUGGACCCGCGGUGCAUUAGCUAGUUGGUGAGGUAACGGCUCACCAAGGCCGUGAUGCAUAGCCGACCUGAGAGGGUGAUCGGCCACAUUGGGACUGAGACACGGCCCAAACUCCUACGGGAGGCAGCAGUAGGGAAUCUUCCGCAAUGGACGCAAGUCUGACGGAGCAACGCCGCGUGAGUGAAGAAGGUUUUCGGAUCGUAAAACUCUGUUGUUAGAGAAGAACAAGUGCUAGAGUAACUGUUAGCGCCUUGACGGUAUCUAACCAGAAAGCCACGGCUAACUACGUGCCAGCAGCCGCGGUAAUACGUAGGUGGCAAGCGUUGUCCGGAUUUAUUGGGCGUAAAGCGAGCGCAGGCGGUUCCUUAAGUCUGAUGUGAAAGCCCCCGGCUCAACCGGGGAGGGUCAUUGGAAACUGGGGAACUUGAGUGCAGAAGAGGAGAGUGGAAUUCCAUGUGUAGCGGUGAAAUGCGUAGAUAUAUGGAGGAACACCAGUGGCGAAAGCGACUCUCUGGUCUGUAACUGACGCUG
rnacentral:rRNA from 1 species